CAGCUACCUGUCCAGUCAGAUCAAAUCAAGAUCAAUCUCAAACGGGAAUCAUCACAGCUCAAAUGUAAAACACAAGAGAAGAAGAAGAACAGAACCAAAAGUGUAGAUUACACUGAUCAUUCUCUCAUUUGGCCCUAUUGGUGGGUGUGUUUCACUGGUGGCUGGCAUCCUUAAACACGACCUAACAGAUGACUGUCAGACCCAAGAACUGUCUGUUACCAACAGUUGAUACACAGUUAUAUUAUGAUAAUUACCAAAAGGUUAGUCCAUACAUUGCCAUGGAAUGUUGAAUGAAGAUAAGGAGCUAGGCUAAAGCUCUGCUGAAUGAUGGAAUCUUGAAUGAAGAUAGCAAGCUAGACUAAAGCUUGGCUGAAUGAUAGAAUGUUUGUUAAAGAUAUAAUAAGUAAACUCCGUGUCAAUAAAAAAUUGUAAAAAUUGUUUUUAGCUUUUGAAAAGUUACACAUUUUGUUAAAUAUGCAUUCAAAAAAAAAAUCAUUUUUAUUGUGUAUUUAAAACAAGACUUAUUCAUUUCAUUAUGUCUUUAUGGAACUCUAGUUUUUGGUAAUAAAUGUUGGAAUUCAAAACA